UUACGGCCAUAUCACGUUGAAACAACGGUUCUCGUAUGAUCACCGAAGUCAAUCAACGUUGAGCCUGGUCAGUACCUACAUGGGUGACAGCUCGAGAAUACCAGGUGCUGUG